CGCGGCCUAUCAGCUUGUUGGUGGGGUAACGGCCUACCAAGGCUAUGACGGGUAGCUGACGUGAGAGCGUGAGCAGCCACACUGGGACUGAGACACGGCCCAGACUCCUACGGGAGGCAGCAGUGGGGAAUAUUGCGCAAUGGGCGGAAGCCUGACGCAGCGACGCCGCGUGGGGGAGGAGGGCCUUAGGGUUGUAAACCCCUGUCAGGUGGGACGAACCCCGGGUCGGUUAAUAAUCGGCUCGACUGACGGUACCACCAGAGGAAGCUCCGGCUAACUCCGUGCCAGCAGCCGCGGUAAUACGGAGGGAGCGAGCGUUGUUCGGAAUCACUGGGCGUAAAGAGCUCGUAGGCGGUUGCGUAAGUCGGAUGUGAAAACUCGGGGCUCAACCCCGAGACGCCAUCCGAUACUGCGCUGACUUGAAUCCAGUAGGGGAGUGUGGAAUUUGUUGUGUAGCGGUGAAAUGCGCAGAUAUAACAAGGAACACCUAUGGCGAAGGCAGCACUCUGGGCUGGUAUUGACGCUGAGGAGCGAAAGCAUGGGUAGCAAACAGGAUUAGAUACCCUGGUAGUCCAUGCCGUAAACGUUGGGCACUAGGUGUGGGGGACAUUCCACGUUUUCCGCGCCGUAGCUAACGCAUUAAGUGCCCCGCCUGGGGAGUACGG
rnacentral:rRNA from 1 species